GGGGUUGCCAUGUUACUAACUGGAAGAAACUUGAGACUGCUGAAGGGAGGAGGGAGGUGACCUUGCAGAGCAGAUAUUGCUUGUGUGCAAGGCAAGGAAAGGGCAGAGAGAAAUCUGCAGGAAGAGGAUCUACAUCCAGCAUGGUCCCCUCCCAAGCAGCAGGGCUUUUCUGCCUUGCAUGCUGGCCUACAGAGAGCUUAGGACUGCAGUAAGUCUGCUGUUUAUUUUCCCUUGCAUUUAGAGGUGUAGUACACAGAAGUAAGAAAAGUGUUUCUGUAAUUCCUUAUGAUUUAUUUUAAAACAACAAUCAAGUUUGCACAACAUAAAAAAUACACAGUACAUAAUACAUCCAUUAAUCCUUGGAAAAAAAAUCUGUUCUUGCUAUCCUGCCAACAGCAGCUGUGCACACUCCAGGCUUUGCUUACGUAAUAUCUAAAAACACAUUGCCCAUGUACUGUGAAUUGAAAUCAAUAUCAGUGCCUAUUUACUAGUUUAAGACUUGUACUCUAAAGAAUCAGCCAAUGGUCCCAGCAGAGCAGUAGUCCCAG
rnacentral:lncRNA from 1 species